ACAAUGCCCACAAUGCUGAGCGGGGCUGGCUGCUGCUGGCCGCCUGCCUCAGUGGCUUUGCACCUUCCCCGCGCUUCAACAAGUACCUUCUCAAGUUUGUGUCUGAUUAUGGGCGGAAUGGCUUCCAGGCUGUGUGUCAGCACCGCCUCAUGCAGGCCAUGGGCCGGGCCCAACAGCAGGGCUCGGGGGCUGCCCGCACCUUACCCCCGACCCAGCUCGAGUGGACAGCGACCUAUGAGAAGGCCAGCAUGGCGCUGGACGUGGGCUGCUUCAAUGGGGGCUGGCAGAUGGCUGGCGCGGCUGGACCGUGGCCAUGAAGAAUGGUGUCCAGUGGGCAGAGCUGGCUGGCCACGACUACGUGUUGGACCUGGUGUCGGACCUGGAGCUGCUCAGGGACUUCCCUCGACAGAAGUCCUACUUCAUUGUGGGCACAGAGGGGCCUGUAGCCAGCAGGGGAGGCCCCAAAGUGGUGUUUGGGAACAGCUGGGACUCGGAUGAGGACACGCCCAUUAGACCCCAGCCCCAGGAGCACAUGCCCAAAGUACUUGACUCUGAUGGGUACAGCAGCCACAAUCAGGACGGUACAAAUGGGGAGACUGAGGCCCAAAGAGGGACAGCAACCCACCAAGGUCAACGAACAAUGGCUGCUGUCUCUGGUGGGGAGGGAGCCUUAGAGGCUGUGUGGGGUGGAAAUCAUCAAGAAAAAAGAACCUGACAUUUUUGUGCCUUCCCCUCCAGAGUCAGACAGUCUUGGAGAGCCUGCUGUGCCCCACAAGGGGCUGGACUGCUACCUGGAUAGCCUCUUCGACCCUGUGCUGUCCUACGGGGAUGCGGUAGGGAUGGUGUGGGGUGGGUCAUUUGCAGACAGUAGGCACAGCAUGUACACCCAAGUCACACACUUGUACAGGGUGACUUGAGAGCUUCUCACAGCCAGGGUCAUGGGGUGGUGUGUCCCAUCUGGGUGUCUGCUGGAAGCUGGACAAAGGAUGAGGGUCUCUUCACAGCUAGAGAUGCUCUUGGCUGAUCCUGGAAGGACCCACAGUUAGAAGUGCACCUCUAGCAAGGUGUGGUGGCAUGCCUCUGUAGUCCCAACUACUUAGGAGGCUGAGAUGGGAGGAUCAUUUGAGCCCAGGAGUUUGAGGCUGCAGUGAGCUGUGAUUGCACCACUGUGCUCCAGCCUGGGCAACAACGAGACCCUGUCUCAAAAAAAAAAAAAAAAAAAAAAAAAACAAA
rnacentral:sRNA from 1 species